CCGCCAACCCGUUCCACCAACCCGUUCCAAACCACUCGGCAUCCGCGCCAGCCAUCCAGCUCCCGGGCUCCCCCCAAUCCCGCCAGCGCCGCACCACCCUCCUCCCUCGCCGCACCCUACUCACGACGCCUCUCUCCUUCCCUCCGAUGUGGUGGUGUGGAGGGCGGUUUCGGCGAGCUUUCGCGGCAUCCGCGACGGCCGCCCACCUCCCCCAAUGCCGGCGCUCCCCCCCCCCCCCACCCACAAUCCCGUGACGAGAGGAUGCGCCUCCCGCUCCCAGUGAUGCCGCUCCGCUCCUCCCAUCGCCGAUCCGGUGAAUGGCGCCUCCCGCGCUCCAGCUACUGGCCAGGCCCAGCGCGUCCUCACAUUCAAGGCUUCCCCGCGUCAGAUUCGGAUGUGGGUAGUGGUUUCUUCGAUUUCGUCGCCAGGAUUGAGUGCCCCUUCUUUCGACCGGCUACCUCAUGCGGGAUGGGGGCGAGGAUGCAACGGCGACGGAGACCUGCAGUAGCUCAGCUUCCUCACGGUGUCCUCAAGCUUGCAAUUUCUUCAAAGGUUUUAUCCUCGGUCUACACAGUGCCCUUACCUCUCCUCCACUCGAUUCCCACGGUUUUGCUUUAUUUCCCACGGUAUCCACGGGUUUGUUUAGGAAGUAAGCUCUUAGUAAUCCCCAUGACCAAAAGGGACAUGGAUAUCUUCUUGAUUCGUCAUCGUAGGAUGGCCCAGAGAGACUUGGCGCGGCGCCGGAGCAUUCCACGGCCACCCACCCGUCUGCUGGUGAGGUCCUCCCAGUUUUUGUUCGUCUGGCAGAUUGAAGAUUGGUGCUUGAAGCAGUCCAUUCGCUUGUUUCUGCUGCCGCCAUCAGCGGCUGCUACAUGGCACAACUGACGGCUUUGUUUGGUGGGCAAGCUGACUUCCUCCCUAUGAUGUUGAUGACACGGAUCAAGCGACAGCCCGUGCAUUAGUCCACUUAGAUGCCGGUGCCAUGUUGUUUUGUGCAAGAACAAGAACAGCAACAUCGAACCCAUACUGGUCAAAGCACGAGAGUCUUCUGGCAAUGGGAACUGCGACUAGGCUCCUCAGCACAGCUAUUAUCUUCUUGUAAUGAAUAGGCCAGAUGCCAGGUAGAAUUGCGCACAACACAUCGGGGAAGAAUUGCGCAAAACGCAAGCUAGGCAUGAACAAGCGUCCUCCUUGGAAGAGAAAUGUUUCUGAUGAAGGCGUUGGUGACUUGUUGAUGAUCUUCAAUUCUGUGUGUUGAAGAAAUUGCAUUCCUCCUCACAGGUUGUACCCUUUGUUGACACCAAGCUCUGUAGAGGUACUGGGAAGCCACAUUUGUCCCCAAGUUUGAAUCCGCAACCAGUGAUGCUUUCGGCCUGAACGAGUCGAGGCCAACAGCGUGCUGCUCUCCACUCGCUGACUUGCCAGCACUCAGAUAGGGAAGAUAUGCAUGUAUUGAU